AAUGCCUAGGAAUCUGCCUGGUAGUGGGGGACAACGUUUCGAAAGGAACGCUAAUACCGCAUACGUCCUACGGGAGAAAGCAGGGGACCUUCGGGCCUUGCGCUAUCAGAUGAGCCUAGGUCGGAUUAGCUAGUUGGUGGGGUAAUGGCUCACCAAGGCGACGAUCCGUAACUGGUCUGAGAGGAUGAUCAGUCACACUGGAACUGAGACACGGUCCAGACUCCUACGGGAGGCAGCAGUGGGGAAUAUUGGACAAUGGGCGAAAGCCUGAUCCAGCCAUGCCGCGUG
rnacentral:rRNA from 1 species